rnacentral:rRNA from 1 species
GCCAGCAGCCGCGGUAAUACGUAGGGUGCAAGCGUUAAUCGGAAUUACUGGGCGUAAAGCGUGCGCAGGCGGUUUUGUAAGACUGUCGUGAAUCCCCGGGCUUAACCUGGGAAUGGCGAUGGUGACUGCAAGGCUGGAGUUUGGCAGAGGGGGGUAGAAUUCCACGUGUAGCAGUGAAAUGCGUAGAGAUGUGGAGGAACACCGAUGGCGAAGGCAGCCCCCUGGGUCAAAACUGACGCUCAUGCACGAAAGCGUGGGGAGCAAACAGGAUUAGAUACCCUGGUAGUCCACGCCCUAAACGAUGUCUACUAGUUGUCGGGUCUUAAUUGACUUGGUAACGCAGCUAACGCGUGAAGUAGACCGCCUGGGGAGUACGGUCGCAAGAUUAAAACUCAAAGGAAUUGACGGGGACCCGCACAAGCGGUGGAUGAUGUGGAUUAAUUCGAUGCAACGCGAAAAACCUUACCUACCCUUGACAUGGAAGGAAUCCCUGAGAGAUCGGGGAGUGCCCGAAAGGGAACCUUUACACAGGUGCUGCAUGGCUGUCGUCAGCUCGUGUCGUGAGAUGCUGGGUUAAGUCCCGCAACGAGCGCAACCCUUGUCAUUAGUUGCUACGAAAGGGCACUCUAAUGAGACUGCCGGUGACAAACCGGAGGAAGGUGGGGGUGACGUCAAGUCCUCAUGGCCCUUAUGGGUAGGGCUUCACACGUCAUACAAUGGUACAUACAGAGGGCCGCCAACCCGCGAGGGGGAGCUAAUCCCAGAAAGUGUAUCGUAGUCCGGAUUGUAGUCUGCAACUCGACUACAUGAAGUUGGAAUCGCUAGUAAUCGCGGAUCAGCAUGUCGCGG